rnacentral:misc_RNA from 1 species
GUAUUUUCGAAUUAAGUUAAUUCGUGAUAACAAAUGUUCAGACAAAUAAGUUAAAGGUGAUGUUGGUAAGUUGUAGAGGUUCCCCCUUCCGUAACCUAAAAGAUAACGAUAGAGGGUCUCAUAACGUUGCACACAAGGUGGAUAUGGAUUUAAAAAGUGCCAUAAAACACUUAUUAUGAAUGAUCCUUCCGCAGGUUCACCUACGGAAA